rnacentral:pre_miRNA from 1 species
UGACCUCGCUAGAUCCGGCGAGGGCGAGCCUCGCCCAUGGUUGCCUCGCUAGAUCAGGCCAUGGGCGAGGCUCACCCUCGCCGGAUUUGGCGUGGUUGA